CCCUUAGAUGUUCUGGGCCGCACGCGCGCUACACUGAUGCAUUCAACGAGCCUAUCCUUGACCGACAGUUCCGGGUAAUCUUUGAAUCUGCAUCGUGACGGGGAUAGAUUAUUGCAAUUAUUAAUCUUCGACGAGGAAUGCCUAGUAGGCGCAAGUCAUCAGCUUGCGUCGAUUACGUCCCUGCCCUUUGUACACACCGCCCGUCGCUCCUACCGAUUGGGUGUGCUGGUGAAAUGUUCGGAUCGGCCGUUUGUCGCGGUUUCCGCGUCAUGUGGCUGAGAAGUUCAUUAAACCCUCCCACCUAGAGGAAGGAGAAGUCGUAACA
rnacentral:rRNA from 1 species